AGAGUUUGAUCAUGGCUCAGAAUGAACGCUGGCGGCGUGCUUAACACAUGCAAGUCGCACGAGAACGUUUCAGCUUGCUGAAACUAGUAAAGUGGCGCACGGGUGAGUAACGCGUGGGUAAUCUACCUCCGAAUUGGGGAUAACAUUGCGAAAGCGAUGCUAAUACCGAAUGACAUCUCAAUAACUCCGGUCUUUGAGAUCAAAGGUGGCCUCUACAUGUAAGCUACUGUUUGAAGAUGAGCCCGCGUACCAUUAGCUUGUUGGUGGGGUAAAGGCCUACCAAGGCUUCGAUGGUUAGCUGGUCUGAGAGGAUGAUCAGCCACACUGGAACUGACACACGGUCCAGACUCCUACGGGAGGCAGCAGCGAGGAAUUUUGCGCAAUGGGGGAAACCCUGACGCAGCAACGCCGCGUGAGUGAUGAAGGCUUUCGGGUCGUAAAGCUCUGUCAAGUGGGAAGAAGUCAUAUGGUGUUAAUACUGCCAUGUGUUGACGGUACCACUGAAGGAAGCACCGGCUAACUCCGUGCCAGCAGCCGCGGUAAUACGGGGGGUGCGAGCGUUAUUCGGAAUUACUGGGCGUAAAGAGCGCGUAGGCGGUCUUUUAAGUCAGGUGUGAAAGCCCGGGGCUCAACCCCGGAAGUGCACUUGAAACUAAGAGACUUGAGUAUGGGAGAGGGAAGUGGA
rnacentral:rRNA from 1 species